GGUUGGGGGCAGAGUGAAAGAGGUGGAGGGAGGUUGGGGUAAACGUUGCCAAGCUGCUCUUGAACAUCCUGAGGGGGCCAGCUUGGUCCUCCCUUAGGCCACCCCGGAUCAGUGAUAGGAUCAUCUUCUGUGCCCUUUGGGACUGAACCAGAUAUUCUAACCAAGAACCCACAGUAACAGUGAUUUCCUAUCCAAGUCUUUCCAGAGCUGCCCCAGUGAAAGCCUGUCUAAAAUCCUGCAAAUAUGGGGGGGAAAUGAUAACCAAACAUCCUCCUGUACUAUUUCCCUGACUGGUGUGGAAGGUGGUGGGGCUGUUAAAGGGCUAUUCAUGUCCUGACACACUGAGCUCUCAGCCACACACUUCUUGAUUACACAUAUUUAACAAAGUCCAAGAAAAAAAUCCACCAAAACACUUGUCACUAUGUUCCCCCACCAAUCUUUUUAACCAGGGCUAUUUAUGUAACAAAAAUUAAUCACGUUCUACAGAUCGGAAGAGUACACGU